rnacentral:rRNA from 1 species
CCUACGGGUGGCUGCAGUGGGGAAUUUUGGACAAUGGGCGCAAGCCUGAUCCAGCAAUGCCGCGUGCAGGAAGAAGGCCUUCGGGUUGUAAACUGCUUUUGUCAGGGAAGAAAUCCUCUGGGUUAAUACCUCGGGGGGAUGACGGUACCUGAAGAAUAAGCACCGGCUAACUACGUGCCAGCAGCCGCGGUAAUACGUAGGGUGCGAGCGUUAAGCGGAAUUACCGGGCGUGGAGCGGCCAGAGGGGGCUGACAUCCCCGGGCUCAACCUGGGAACUGCAUUUGUGACUGCAAGGCUAGAGUACGGCAGAGGGGGAUGGAAUUCCGCGUGUAGCAGUGAAAUGCGUAGAUAUGCGGAGGAACACCGAUGGCGAAGGCAAUCCCCUGGGCCUGUACUGACGCUCAUGCACGAAAGCGUGGGGAGCAAACAGGAUUAGAUACCCCUGUAGUC